GGUUAGGGUUAGGGUUAGGGUUAGGGGUUAGGGUUAGGGGUUAGGGUUAGGGUUAGGGUUAGGGGUUAGGGUUAGGGUUAGGGUUAGGGUUAGGGGUUAGGGUUAGGUUUAUGGAUAAAGGGGGACUGUCUCCUAGAAUAGGAGACAGGAGGUGCACGGUCCAUCCCCCUGUUCCCCGUCCCCCACGACCCCGUUUGAUACUGCUGAUUAUUAGUGCGAUACGGGCGUUGACCACGCCUUCUCCCGUAUCGCACUUCAGUCCAUUGUUCUUGGUCGUAGGUCAUGAUUGUUGUUUUAACCUUUUUAAUUAUUUAUUGUUAUUUAUUAAUGUGGUGUAUUUAUGAGACUAUUUAUUUAUUUAUUGGUCUAUCUAUCGAUGUUUUUAAACAAAAACUGUAUCAAAUGAACUGUUCUUUAUUUUUUUAUGCGUUUUUUUGUUUUUUGUGAAAUAAAAAUGAAAUAAAAUGAAAUAAAAGUGAGAAAACUGAAUAAAAUGUGUAUCAAAAUGAAUAAUAAGUGCCCAGUCGCGACGUUUCGACCGCUGUGGGUCUUCUUCAGGCUAUGGGCACGAAAUAAAAUAUGUCUGGGCUUGUCUGGGCUUGUCUGGGCUUGUUUGAGUCUGCUGGUGAGAUGCUUUCUCUUCAAGAGACAUAUGAGAAGUGGGAGGCUGAACUCUGUGUGCGUGAGUUUUUUAUAGGGGCGUGGGAAAGAGCAGAGCCAGACGGGGGCCUCCGGCCGUCUGGGUGCAGUUAACCCCAUAAAUGCCAACUGAAAUUAGAUGACAUGAAUGUUAAUGGCCAAUUGGAUUUUUUUACCCUCUUUUAACAGAUUAACUUUAAUGAAUUAUAAUUGUAAUGCCCAAUUAGAAUUUUUUAUGCUCUUUUUAACUUAUUUAACUUAAUGAAUUGUAAUUGUAAUGCCCAAUUUUAACGUUUGCCAAUUAGAAUCGUAAUGAAUUUGAAUUUUUAAAGAGAGAUGUAAUUAUGUUAUCCCCUAAUUCCCUUUUUAAAUUUUAGAUGAGAUAUCUCUUUGUAAUAUUUAUGGUUUUAAUGUCUAAUGGAUUAAAAAGAAUUAAUUAAAAUAAAUUAUUAGUUUUUAAAGGUUAGGGUUAGGGGUCAGAGCUAGGGUUAGAGAGGUCAGGGUUAGGGCCAGGGUUAGGGUUAGAUUUGAUCCCCGAGGGUUAGGGUUAGGGUUAGGGAUAGGGUUAGGGUUAGAUUUGAUCCCCGAGGGUUAGGGUUAGGGUUAGGGAUAGGGUUAGGGUUAGAUUUGAUCCCCGAGGGUUAGGGUUAGGGUUAGGGAUAGGGUUAGGGUUAGAUUUGAUCCCCGAGGGUUAGGGUUAGGGUUAGGAUUCUGGUUAGGCGUUAGUUUAGGGCUAGGGGUUAGUGGUUAGGGGUCAGGGGUUAGUAAUUAGGGGUUGGUGGUUAGUGAUUAGGGGUCAGGGUUAGGCAUUGGAGCCCCUAAUCACACGUAGAUGUAUUUAGCUGUUGUUCUUGUCCAAUGUGUGUGGUCCACUUCUGUCAGAAACCUGUCUCCUUCUAGAGAGUCGACGUGUGGCCAAGCUCCAGUCUCCCACAUUCUUGUCUGUGUUAAUGUGUCUUUUUGUUUUGUAUGUUAUAGGUUUUAGGGGAGAGGGAGACUUUCCCUCCAAAGAGUCCAGAAACUCCCUGUCCAGCUUAGACAUGAAGUUCUGUUGUGGAGACAGAACAGGAGUUGUCUCCAGCUCCGUGUCUCGGUUUUCCCCUAUGUGUGAGUACUGUUUUGUACUGUUUGUAGGUGUUUGUUUCUCCUCUUGUUUGUUAUGUUGUGGUUCUGUGUGUGGUGUGUGGAGUGGAGUCUGAGGUGUUUUGGUUUGUUGUGGUGUUUUUUGUUGUUGUUGUUGUGGUGGUGUUUUGUUUUGUUGUUGUUGUUGUGCUUGUGCUGACUGUGUGUUUUGUUGUGGUGUCUGCUUUGUGUGUACAGGCUUGUCCACAAUUUGUGGACCAUCAUUUUGUGGUUUUUCCUGUGCAGCAGCAGGCUCAGAAGGGGCUGCCUGUCUGUCCUGUGCUGCAACAGGCUUCACACAAGAGGCUAUGAGAGCCUCUGCAUGGUCAAUAACCUCCUGCUUUAUACGAGGCAGGUUCUUUUUAGCCCAUCUCGUGGCCACAGUGAAGGCGCUCUUCCACUCUUGAGGUGGCUCUUUUGAAAGAUCUGCCUGUAUUUUCUCCAGCUCAGCGGUGUAGUGGUCCUGGAGAAUCAGCAGUGUAGUGUGGCCCCAGUUUUUUGCAUUUGCAAUGAUCAAAUCCAGCGUGUAGGUUGUUGGAUUUGCUGGUUUGAUCAUGGUUGCCAAAUUAUCCACCAUACGUGCUAUCAUUUUUGGAUCCUGUUUUUCAGGUCCUGGGGUCACAUUUUGUAGGUGGUGAACCAUUUUAAUGACAGUGUGUAAUUUUUUGACCAGUUGUCCGAAUUGGGGGUCAUGUACUGGUGCUUGCUGAGUACUUGGAUCAGGCAGGGAUCUGCUCUGCUGUGUGUUUUUUUGGUGGUAAUAAGGGCGUCUUUGAGGAAAUCCCCCCUGGUUACGGGUGGGGUUUCCCUGGUGUAGCACAGAUGCAUAGGACCCUGAUUGAGGUCCCCAAAAUUUGGGUUGAUAAUCAGGAGGUCCAGGUCUGCGGGGACGUGAGGGAGCAGAGAACCGUGGGGGAGGCACAGGCCGGUUAGGUUUAUGGAUAAAGGGGGACUGUCUCCUAGAAUAGGAGACAGGAGGUGCACGGUCCAUCCCCCUGUUCCCCGUCCCCCACGACCCCGUUUGAUACUGCUGAUUAUUAGUGCGAUACGGGCGUUGACCACGCCUUCUCCCGUAUCGCACUUCAGUCCAUUGUUCUUGGUCGUAGGUCAUGAUUGUUGUUUUAACCUUUUUAAUUAUUUAUUGUUAUUUAUUAAUGUGGUGUAUUUAUGAGACUAUUUAUUUAUUUAUUGGUCUAUCUAUCGAUGUUUUUAAACAAAAACUGUAUCAAAUGAACUGUUCUUUAUUUUUUUAUGCGUUUUUUUGUUUUUUGUGAAAUAAAAAUGAAAUAAAAUGAAAUAAAAGUGAGAAAACUGAAUAAAAUGUGUAUCAAAAUGAAUAAUAAGUGCCCAGUCGCGACGUUUCGACCGCUGUGGGUCUUCUUCAGGCUAUGGGCACGAAAUAAAAUAUGUCUGGGCUUGUCUGGGCUUGUCUGGGCUUGUUUGAGUCUGCUGGUGAGAUGCUUUCUCUUCAAGAGACAUAUGAGAAGUGGGAGGCUGAACUCUGUGUGCGUGAGUUUUUUAUAGGGGCGUGGGAAAGAGCAGAGCCAGACGGGGGCCUCCGGCCGUCUGGGUGCAGUUAACCCCAUAAAUGCCAACUGAAAUUAGAUGACAUGAAUGUUAAUGGCCAAUUGGAUUUUUUUACCCUCUUUUAACAGAUUAACUUUAAUGAAUUAUAAUUGUAAUGCCCAAUUAGAAUUUUUUAUGCUCUUUUUAACUUAUUUAACUUAAUGAAUUGUAAUUGUAAUGCCCAAUUUUAACGUUUGCCAAUUAGAAUCGUAAUGAAUUUGAAUUUUUAAAGAGAGAUGUAAUUAUGUUAUCCCCUAAUUCCCUUUUUAAAUUUUAGAUGAGAUAUCUCUUUGUAAUAUUUAUGGUUUUAAUGUCUAAUGGAUUAAAAAGAAUUAAUUAAAAUAAAUUAUUAGUUUUUAAAGGUUAGGGUUAGGGGUCAGAGCUAGGGUUAGAGAGGUCAGGGUUAGGGCCAGGGUUAGGGUUAGAUUUGAUCCCCGAGGGUUAGGGUUAGGGUUAGGGAUAGGGUUAGGGUUAGAUUUGAUCCCCGAGGGUUAGGGUUAGGGUUAGGGAUAGGGUUAGGGUUAGAUUUGAUCCCCGAGGGUUAGGGUUAGGGUUAGGGAUAGGGUUAGGGUUAGAUUUGAUCCCCGAGGGUUAGGGUUAGGGUUAGGAUUCUGGUUAGGCGUUAGUUUAGGGCUAGGGGUUAGUGGUUAGGGGUCAGGGGUUAGUAAUUAGGGGUUGGUGGUUAGUGAUUAGGGGUCAGGGUUAGGCAUUGGAGCCCCUAAUCACACGUAGAUGUAUUUAGCUGUUGUUCUUGUCCAAUGUGUGUGGUCCACUUCUGUCAGAAACCUGUCUCCUUCUAGAGAGUCGACGUGUGGCCAAGCUCCAGUCUCCCACAUUCUUGUCUGUGUUAAUGUGUCUUUUUGUUUUGUAUGUUAUAGGUUUUAGGGGAGAGGGAGACUUUCCCUCCAAAGAGUCCAGAAACUCCCUGUCCAGCUUAGACAUGAAGUUCUGUUGUGGAGACAGAACAGGAGUUGUCUCCAGCUCCGUGUCUCGGUUUUCCCCUAUGUGUGAGUACUGUUUUGUACUGUUUGUAGGUGUUUGUUUCUCCUCUUGUUUGUUAUGUUGUGGUUCUGUGUGUGGUGUGUGGAGUGGAGUCUGAGGUGUUUUGGUUUGUUGUGGUGUUUUUUGUUGUUGUUGUUGUGGUGGUGUUUUGUUUUGUUGUUGUUGUUGUGCUUGUGCUGACUGUGUGUUUUGUUGUGGUGUCUGCUUUGUGUGUACAGGCUUGUCCACAAUUUGUGGACCAUCAUUUUGUGGUUUUUCCUGUGCAGCAGCAGGCUCAGAAGGGGCUGCCUGUCUGUCCUGUGCUGCAACAGGCUUCACACAAGAGGCUAUGAGAGCCUCUGCGUGGUCAAUAACCUCCUGCUUUAUACGAGGCAGGUUCUUUUUAGCCCAUCUCGUGGCCACAGUGAAGGCGCUCUUCCACUCUUGAGGUGGCUCUUUUGAAAGAUCUGCCUGUAUUUUCUCCAGCUCAGCGGUGUAGUGGUCCUGGAGAAUCAGCAGUGUAGUGUGGCCCCAGUUUUUUGCAUUUGCAAUGAUCAAAUCCAGCGUGUAGGUUGUUGGAUUUGCUGGUUUGAUCAUGGUUGCCAAAUUAUCCACCAUACGUGCUAUCAUUUUUGGAUCCUGUUUUUCAGGUCCUGGGGUCACAUUUUGUAGGUGGUGAACCAUUUUAAUGACAGUGUGUAAUUUUUUGACCAGUUGUCCGAAUUGGGGGUCAUGUACUGGUGCUUGCUGAGUACUUGGAUCAGGCAGGGAUCUGCUCUGCUGUGUGUUUUUUUGGUGGUAAUAAGGGCGUCUUUGAGGAAAUCCCCCUGGUUACGGGUGGGGUUUCCCUGGUGUAGCACAGAUGCAUAGGACCCUGAUUGAGGUCCCCAAAAUUUGGGUUGAUAAUCAGGAGGUCCAGGUCUGCGGGGACGUGAGGGAGCAGAGAACCGUGGGGGAGGCACAGGCCGGUUAGGUUUAUGGAUAAAGGGGGACUGUCUCCUAGAAUAGGAGACAGGAGGUGCACGGUCCAUCCCCCUGUUCCCCGUCCCCCACGACCCCGUUUGAUACUGCUGAUUAUUAGUGCGAUACGGGCGUUGACCACGCCUUCUCCCGUAUCGCACUUCAGUCCAUUGUUCUUGGUCGUAGGUCAUGAUUGUUGUUUUAACCUUUUUAAUUAUUUAUUGUUAUUUAUUAAUGUGGUGUAUUUAUGAGACUAUUUAUUUAUUUAUUGGUCUAUCUAUCGAUGUUUUUAAACAAAAACUGUAUCAAAUGAACUGUUCUUUAUUUUUUUAUGCGUUUUUUUGUUUUUUGUGAAAUAAAAAUGAAAUAAAAUGAAAUAAAAGUGAGAAAACUGAAUAAAAUGUGUAUCAAAAUGAAUAAUAAGUGCCCAGUCGCGACGUUUCGACCGCUGUGGGUCUUCUUCAGGCUAUGGGCACGAAAUAAAAUAUGUCUGGGCUUGUCUGGGCUUGUCUGGGCUUGUUUGAGUCUGCUGGUGAGAUGUUUUCUCUUCAAGAGACAUAUGAGAAGUGGGAGGCUGAACUCUGUGUGCGUGAGUUUUUUAUAGGGGCGUGGGAAAGAGCAGAGCCAGACGGGGGCCUCCGGCCGUCUGGGUGCAGUUAACCCCAUAAAUGCCAACUGAAAUUAGAUGACAUGAAUGUUAAUGGCCAAUUGGAUUUUUUUACCCUCUUUUAACAGAUUAACUUUAAUGAAUUAUAAUUGUAAUGCCCAAUUAGAAUUUUUUAUGCUCUUUUUAACUUAUUUAACUUAAUGAAUUGUAAUUGUAAUGCCCAAUUUUAACGUUUGCCAAUUAGAAUCGUAAUGAAUUUGAAUUUUUAAAGAGAGAUGUAAUUAUGUUAUCCCCUAAUUCCCUUUUUAAAUUUUAGAUGAGAUAUCUCUUUGUAAUAUUUAUGGUUUUAAUGUCUAAUGGAUUAAAAAGAAUUAAUUAAAAUAAAUUAUUAGUUUUUAAAGGUUAGGGUUAGGGGUCAGAGCUAGGGUUAGAGAGGUCAGGGUUAGGGCCAGGGUUAGGGUUAGAUUUGAUCCCCGAGGGUUAGGGUUAGGGUUAGGGAUAGGGUUAGGGUUAGAUUUGAUCCCCGAGGGUUAGGGUUAGGGUUAGGGAUAGGGUUAGGGUUAGAUUUGAUCCCCGAGGGUUAGGGUUAGGGUUAGGGAUAGGGUUAGGGUUAGAUUUGAUCCCCGAGGGUUAGGGUUAGGGUUAGGAUUCUGGUUAGGCGUUAGUUUAGGGCUAGGGGUUAGUGGUUAGGGGUCAGGGGUUAGUAAUUAGGGGUUGGUGGUUAGUGAUUAGGGGUCAGGGUUAGGCAUUGGAGCCCCUAAUCACACGUAGAUGUAUUUAGCUGUUGUUCUUGUCCAAUGUGUGUGGUCCACUUCUGUCAGAAACCUGUCUCCUUCUAGAGAGUCGACGUGUGGCCAAGCUCCAGUCUCCCACAUUCUUGUCUGUGUUAAUGUGUCUUUUUGUUUUGUAUGUUAUAGGUUUUAGGGGAGAGGGAGACUUUCCCUCCAAAGAGUCCAGAAACUCCCUGUCCAGCUUAGACAUGAAGUUCUGUUGUGGAGACAGAACAGGAGUUGUCUCCAGCUCCGUGUCUCGGUUUUCCCCUAUGUGUGAGUACUGUUUUGUACUGUUUGUAGGUGUUUGUUUCUCCUCUUGUUUGUUAUGUUGUGGUUCUGUGUGUGGUGUGUGGAGUGGAGUCUGAGGUGUUUUGGUUUGUUGUGGUGUUUUUUGUUGUUGUUGUUGUGGUGGUGUUUUGUUUUGUUGUUGUUGUUGUGCUUGUGCUGACUGUGUGUUUUGUUGUGGUGUCUGCUUUGUGUGUACAGGCUUGUCCACAAUUUGUGGACCAUCAUUUUGUGGUUUUUCCUGUGCAGCAGCAGGCUCAGAAGGGGCUGCCUGUCUGUCCUGUGCUGCAACAGGCUUCACACAAGAGGCUAUGAGAGCCUCUGCGUGGUCAAUAACCUCCUGCUUUAUACGAGGCAGGUUCUUUUUAGCCCAUCUCGUGGCCACAGUGAAGGCGCUCUUCCACUCUUGAGGUGGCUCUUUUGAAAGAUCUGCCUGUAUUUUCUCCAGCUCAGCGGUGUAGUGGUCCUGGAGAAUCAGCAGUGUAGUGUGGCCCCAGUUUUUUGCAUUUGCAAUGAUCAAAUCCAGCGUGUAGGUUGUUGGAUUUGCUGGUUUGAUCAUGGUUGCCAAAUUAUCCACCAUACGUGCUAUCAUUUUUGGAUCCUGUUUUUCAGGUCCUGGGGUCACAUUUUGUAGGUGGUGAACCAUUUUAAUGACAGUGUGUAAUUUUUUGACCAGUUGUCCGAAUUGGGGGUCAUGUACUGGUGCUUGCUGAGUACUUGGAUCAGGCAGGGAUCUGCUCUGCUGUGUGUUUUUUUGGUGGUAAUAAGGGCGUCUUUGAGGAAAUCCCCCCUGGUUACGGGUGGGGUUUCCCUGGUGUAGCACAGAUGCAUAGGACCCUGAUUGAGGUCCCCAAAAUUUGGGUUGAUAAUCAGGAGGUCCAGGUCUGCGGGGACGUGAGGGAGCAGAGAACCGUGGGGGAGGCACAGGCCGGUUAGGUUUAUGGAUAAAGGGGGACUGUCUCCUAGAAUAGGAGACAGGAGGUGCACGGUCCAUCCCCCUGUUCCCCGUCCCCCACGACCCCGUUUGAUACUGCUGAUUAUUAGUGCGAUACGGGCGUUGACCACGCCUUCUCCCGUAUCGCACUUCAGUCCAUUGUUCUUGGUCGUAGGUCAUGAUUGUUGUUUUAACCUUUUUAAUUAUUUAUUGUUAUUUAUUAAUGUGGUGUAUUUAUGAGACUAUUUAUUUAUUUAUUGGUCUAUCUAUCGAUGUUUUUAAACAAAAACUGUAUCAAAUGAACUGUUCUUUAUUUUUUUUUUUUUUUUUUUUUUUUUUUUUUUUUUGUGCGUUUUUUUGUUUUUUGUGAAAUAAAAAUGAAAUAAAAUGAAAUAAAAGUGAGAAAACUGAAUAAAAUGUGUAUCAAAAUGAAUAAUAAGUGCCCAGUCGCGACGUUUCGACCGCUGUGGGUCUUCUUCAGGCUAUGGGCACGAAAUAAAAUAUGUCUGGGCUUGUCUGGGCUUGUCUGGGCUUGUUUGAGUCUGCUGGUGAGAUGCUUUCUCUUCAAGAGACAUAUGAGAAGUGGGAGGCUGAACUCUGUGUGAGUGAGUUUUUUAUAGGGGCGUGGGAAAGAGCAGAGCCAGACGGGGGCCUCCGGCCGUCUGGGUGCAGUUAACCCCAUAAAUGCCAACUGAAAUUAGAUGACAUGAAUGUUAAUGGCCAAUUGGAUUUUUUUACCCUCUUUUAACAGAUUAACUUUAAUGAAUUAUAAUUGUAAUGCCCAAUUAGAAUUUUUUAUGCUCUUUUUAACUUAUUUAACUUAAUGAAUUGUAAUUGUAAUGCCCAAUUUUAACGUUUGCCAAUUAGAAUCGUAAUGAAUUUGAAUUUUUAAAGAGAGAUGUAAUUAUGUUAUCCCCUAAUUCCCUUUUUAAAUUUUAGAUGAGAUAUCUCUUUGUAAUAUUUAUGGUUUUAAUGUCUAAUGGAUUAAAAAGAAUUAAUUAAAAUAAAUUAUUAGUUUUUAAAGGUUAGGGUUAGGGGUCAGAGCUAGGGUUAGAGAGGUCAGGGUUAGGGCCAGGGUUAGGGUUAGAUUUGAUCCCCGAGGGUUAGGGUUAGGGUUAGGGAUAGGGUUAGGGUUAGAUUUGAUCCCCGAGGGUUAGGGUUAGGGUUAGGGAUAGGGUUAGGGUUAGAUUUGAUCCCCGAGGGUUAGGGUUAGGGUUAGGGAUAGGGUUAGGGUUAGAUUUGAUCCCCGAGGGUUAGGGUUAGGGUUAGGAUUCUGGUUAGGCGUUAGUUUAGGGCUAGGGGUUAGUGGUUAGGGGUCAGGGGUUAGUAAUUAGGGGUUGGUGGUUAGUGAUUAGGGGUCAGGGUUAGGCAUUGGAGCCCCUAAUCACACGUAGAUGUAUUUAGCUGUUGUUCUUGUCCAAUGUGUGUGGUCCACUUCUGUCAGAAACCUGUCUCCUUCUAGAGAGUCGACGUGUGGCCAAGCUCCAGUCUCCCACAUUCUUGUCUGUGUUAAUGUGUCUUUUUGUUUUGUAUGUUAUAGGUUUUAGGGGAGAGGGAGACUUUCCCUCCAAAGAGUCCAGAAACUCCCUGUCCAGCUUAGACAUGAAGUUCUGUUGUGGAGACAGAACAGGAGUUGUCUCCAGCUCCGUGUCUCGGUUUUCCCCUAUGUGUGAGUACUGUUUUGUACUGUUUGUAGGUGUUUGUUUCUCCUCUUGUUUGUUAUGUUGUGGUUCUGUGUGUGGUGUGUGGAGUGGAGUCUGAGGUGUUUUGGUUUGUUGUGGUGUUUUUUGUUGUUGUUGUUGUGGUGGUGUUUUGUUUUGUUGUUGUUGUUGUGCUUGUGCUGACUGUGUGUUUUGUUGUGGUGUCUGCUUUGUGUGUACAGGCUUGUCCACAAUUUGUGGACCAUCAUUUUGUGGUUUUUCCUGUGCAGCAGCAGGCUCAGAAGGGGCUGCCUGUCUGUCCUGUGCUGCAACAGGCUUCACACAAGAGGCUAUGAGAGCCUCUGCGUGGUCAAUAACCUCCUGCUUUAUACGAGGCAGGUUCUUUUUAGCCCAUCUCGUGGCCACAGUGAAGGCGCUCUUCCACUCUUGAGGUGGCUCUUUUGAAAGAUCUGCCUGUAUUUUCUCCAGCUCAGCGGUGUAGUGGUCCUGGAGAAUCAGCAGUGUAGUGUGGCCCCAGUUUUUUGCAUUUGCAAUGAUCAAAUCCAGCGUGUAGGUUGUUGGAUUUGCUGGUUUGAUCAUGGUUGCCAAAUUAUCCACCAUACGUGCUAUCAUUUUUGGAUCCUGUUUUUCAGGUCCUGGGGUCACAUUUUGUAGGUGGUGAACCAUUUUAAUGACAGUGUGUAAUUUUUUGACCAGUUGUCCGAAUUGGGGUCAUGUACUGGUGCUUGCUGAGUACUUGGAUCAGGCAGGGAUCUGCUCUGCUGUGUGUUUUUUUGGUGGUAAUAAGGGCGUCUUUGAGGAAAUCCCCCCUGGUUACGGGUGGGGUUUCCCUGGUGUAGCACAGAUGCAUAGGACCCUGAUUGAGGUCCCCAAAAUUUGGGUUGAUAAUCAGGAGGUCCAGGUCUGCGGGGACGUGAGGGAGCAGAGAACCGUGGGGGAGGCACAGGCCGGUUAGGUUUAUGGAUAAAGGGGGACUGUCUCCUAGAAUAGGAGACAGGAGGUGCACGGUCCAUCCCCCUGUUCCCCGUCCCCCACGACCCCGUUUGAUACUGCUGAUUAUUAGUGCGAUACGGGCGUUGACCACGCCUUCUCCCGUAUCGCACUUCAGUCCAUUGUUCUUGGUCGUAGGUCAUGAUUGUUGUUUUAACCUUUUUAAUUAUUUAUUGUUAUUUAUUAAUGUGGUGUAUUUAUGAGACUAUUUAUUUAUUUAUUGGUCUAUCUAUCGAUGUUUUUAAACAAAAACUGUAUCAAAUGAACUGUUCUUUAUUUUUUUAUGCGUUUUUUUGUUUUUUGUGAAAUAAAAAUGAAAUAAAAUGAAAUAAAAGUGAGAAAACUGAAUAAAAUGUGUAUCAAAAUGAAUAAUAAGUGCCCAGUCGCGACGUUUCGACCGCUGUGGGUCUUCUUCAGGCUAUGGGCACGAAAUAAAAUAUGUCUGGGCUUGUCUGGGCUUGUCUGGGCUUGUUUGAGUCUGCUGGUGAGAUGCUUUCUCUUCAAGAGACAUAUGAGAAGUGGGAGGCUGAACUCUGUGUGCGUGAGUUUUUUAUAGGGGCGUGGGAAAGAGCAGAGCCAGACGGGGGGCCUCCGGCCGUCUGGGUGCAGUUAACCCCAUAAAUGCCAACUGAAAUUAGAUGACAUGAAUGUUAAUGGCCAAUUGGAUUUUUUUACCCUCUUUUAACAGAUUAACUUUAAUGAAUUAUAAUUGUAAUGCCCAAUUAGAAUUUUUUAUGCUCUUUUUAACUUAUUUAACUUAAUGAAUUGUAAUUGUAAUGCCCAAUUUUAACGUUUGCCAAUUAGAAUCGUAAUGAAUUUGAAUUUUUAAAGAGAGAUGUAAUUAUGUUAUCCCCUAAUUCCCUUUUUAAAUUUUAGAUGAGAUAUCUCUUUGUAAUAUUUAUGGUUUUAAUGUCUAAUGGAUUAAAAAGAAUUAAUUAAAAUAAAUUAUUAGUUUUUAAAGGUUAGGGUUAGGGGUCAGAGCUAGGGUUAGAGAGGUCAGGGUUAGGGCCAGGGUUAGGGUUAGAUUUGAUCCCCGAGGGUUAGGGUUAGGGUUAGGGAUAGGGUUAGGGUUAGAUUUGAUCCCCGAGGGUUAGGGUUAGGGUUAGGGAUAGGGUUAGGGUUAGAUUUGAUCCCCGAGGGUUAGGGUUAGGGUUAGGGAUAGGGUUAGGGUUAGAUUUGAUCCCCGAGGGUUAGGGUUAGGGUUAGAUUCUGGUUAGGCGUUAGUUUAGGGCUAGGGGUUAGUGGUUAGGGGUCAGGGGUUAGUAAUUAGGGGUUGGUGGUUAGUGAUUAGGGGUCAGGGUUAGGCAUUGGAGCCCCUAAUCACACGUAGAUGUAUUUAGCUGUUGUUCUUGUCCAAUGUGUGUGGUCCACUUCUGUCAGAAACCUGUCUCCUUCUAGAGAGUCGACGUGUGGCCAAGCUCCAGUCUCCCACAUUCUUGUCUGUGUUAAUGUGUCUUUUUGUUUUGUAUGUUAUAGGUUUUAGGGGAGAGGGAGACUU